rnacentral:snRNA from 8 species
CGACUCUGGUUUCUCUUCAUUACGCACAAGCCUUUCGCCUUUUACUAAAGACUUCCGUGGAGAGGAACACUUAACGAGUUCAACGUAUUUUUUGGAAGGGGCUUUGCUUCUGGCAGAGCC